GGAGAUGAAAAUGUUAGCCAUAGACCGUUAAAAAGAAAAAGAAACAAAAAAAAGAAGUCAGCGAAAAAGAUGCAAGUAUAUUAUAUAGAGCAUUCUAAUAUUGCUUCCAAGCUCGACUUCUACAUACUUCUUCUACAAGCCUGGAAACUAUAAAAGACUAGCAGCCAUACAAGCUGUAAUUAUGUGCUUGCUUGCUUGCUAGUUGUUAAUUGCUACUACUGCUACAACACAGGAGAAACUUUCUGCAGCACUCUGCACUCUGCAGUGAUGCAUCCACAUAUUACAUAUACAAUAGGCCUGCACAUAUAAUGGAACUUAGUAAGCCAUAGCUUCUGAUUUCCUCUUGGAAUAAUCCAUAAUGAUCAUCCCAUCAUGCAACUUCAUAGCAUCAUAGCGGGUGACCUUCUCUUCACUAGAAACAGGGAUCAUCAUCUGAUAAAUUGGGGGUUUCUGAGGUUGAUAUGGGGGACAAACUGAUAUAUAUGGGUUGGCAGCUGCAGGAGCCCUUUGCGGUGGUGGUAGGACUUGACGACUCGGCCUGCGUCUCCGGCCGAAAUAUUCAUCAAUUAUAGCAAAGCCCUCCUCGCUAAUCUUAACAAGGUCUGGCUGGGAUGCCAUUGAAUCUCAAAGGCUACACUGAAGAGAAUAGUAUUACUUAGCAAAAAGUAGUUGUGUGUUUGAUUUCUGAUGCAGAGGUAGAGAGGCAGAGGCCUUUAUAUAGAGGCUUUUUUUUUUAAAGAUAGCAAGGGUCCCCAAGUGGGGGAAAAAGUCGAACCAUAUGAACAUGGCUGCUUCAUGGAAACGAGACAACUUCCCAUGCUAAGUUACAAACAUUUUUAUCACUUCUAACGUUUAUGCCCCCACAUUUUUAUCACUUUCGCUGCAGUGUCUCUCGUUUUUUCAAAAUUUUAAAAUUGUUUCUACAUCUUUUUUUUUUUUGGCAUUAACUAGCUAUGAUUAAUUAUGAUAACUAAUUAUAACGAGCUAUAUUGAAAAGACCACAGCCGGAUAUAUAUAAAAUCCAUAAUCUUACAUCUAAAAUAAAAUAAAUAAAACUAAAAUUUUUUGUCCAAAAAAACAACUUAAUUUUCAUGAGUUACUUUCUACAAACAAAACUUUUAUCAUCAGUUUUACAGCUGUGUUACAUUACCCCACACAUUGCGGUAUCAUUAGCAAGCGGUUACUUUAAUGUAUACAUGAACUUAUUACAUUUUCUAGCCAUCACCUUGGUUCGAUUUUGGCAGAUUUAAUGAAAUGGUGAUGUGAAAAAUCUGAGAAAAUUCCCACUUCCCAAUAUGUGGCGAUUCCGGGAGACAAAGGCAUAAAGCUAAUGUGAAAGGGGGAGGCACCUGGUGAUUUAAUUCCGGAUUGUUAUAUUAUUCCGUUUGAUCGGCAAGGGAAAGUGAUUUUAUACGGUCGUGGUCUUGGCGGUGGACUUGGUGGUCUGAGUCUUUCCUCUUUCGGUGGAAUAGAACAUGACAAGUGUCUAAUGGAUUGGAUGCCUUUUAGUUCCGUUGAAGACUGGACGACUUCAAAUUUUCAGUCCAUUUGUGUUAAUCUUUCAUCUAUGUACAGAUUAUAAACUAAUUUUGAAAAAUGAUUAUAGACGAAACCAGAAUAAUUUGAAACGACUCGUAAGUGGAUUCUAGAUUUUAACUUUUUAAUUAUUCAGAAUUAUUAAAAGAAAGAAAAGAAAAGAAAUAAUCAGAUGAAUAGAGCUCCUAGUUAAGCCUGGUUGUUUGCUUGGCAGCCACAAUUACUAGUAAGCAGAAUUAUUCUUCUGACUGAAACAAACACAACAACUGAUCUUUUAUUGAUAUAACGAAAAUUCGGUCAAGGAAGAGAUAAUUCCCUUUUGCUUUUCUUUGGUUCUUUUCAUCUGACUAGGAUAGACCAAUCCAAAGUUCAGUCAAUUAACCUAUUUAGAAGCGUAAUCUUACUUACAGAAUCACAAAAGAAAAAAGAUUAAAAAAGGAAGAAAGUCUGCAAUUUGUUUCUGGCAAAAAGCUUUGUUUGGAUUGUGAUUUUUUUGCAGAAAAAUAUUUACAUUUUUCAUGAACAUAUUUUUAAUCAUAUUUUUACCUCACAUAUAUCAAAUCGUUACAAUAUAUUUUUCCACCAAAACUCCUAAAAAUCGCAACAGUACAUCAAAUUUGUAACUGGAAAAUGCAACCAUACUCAAAAGUUUACCAAGCUAGUGUUGUAUGCAACAAAAGUAUUACGGUGAGUUGUUUUGAUCAGAAGAAAGACACCAGAUCUCUCUGCUUCUAUGAGUUGUUUUGAUCAGUUAGGUUUUGAAUCUAUUCUUCUCCCAUGUUAUAUGAUUCUUUAUGUUUAAGCAUUUCGUUUUCAUUGGUUUGGAUAGACAAAAAUCUGAUCAAGUGGUGAAAUUAAAUCAAAUGACGAGGAAAGUGCAAGCUAAAUUACGAGAAUAGUGUAUACUCUUGACCACGUACCGUGCUAGAUCCAGCUCGAGCUCGCUUGGCCUUUCUGUAAAACCACUUUCUACAAUCAAAAGGUUACAACUUCAUAUGAAUUGUGAUUGAUACAAUGGUUUUAUGUUGUACUUCUUUUUUCAUAAAUUGUGUUUGCUAUAGAGGUUUCACGCAUUUUGCUGCUCUUUUUUUUUUUUCUUGAUACGCGUGCAUUUAGUUAGAAGAAACCACUUCAAGUUUCGGCAUAAAUUGUAAUGUCUAGAAUGAAAAUGUAAUGCAUCACAGGUUGAAAUAUUCUGUCAUGCAGCAAAUACAAAAAAAAACCCCUUCCUACAAUAAUGAAAAACACUUGCAAAUUAGUAGAAAACGAUCAUUGAUGACUGUUACGAUAACUAUUAGCAGAUUAAAUAAGCGAAUUCAUCAAUGAAAAAAAAAAAAAAAAAAGAGGAAAAGACAAUUUCUUUCAUGCACUGGUCUAGGUAUUACUUCCAACUUUCAGAGUUCCAGCUCGAGAAGUUCGGAAGAAUACCAGUAAAAUAUCAGAUGAAGAAAUUGAGCCGCGGACUUGUUAUGCUUUCGAUAUAUAUAUCUUUUGCCUGCCAUAGACGGUAAAAAAGAAAAAGAAAAAAAAAGAAAUCAGCGAUAAAGAUGCAAGUAUAUUAAAUAGAGCAUUCUAAUAUUGCUUCAAAGCUCGACUUCUACAUAUUUCUUCUGCAAGCCUGGAAACUAUAAAAGACUAGCAGCCAUACAAGCUGUAAUUAUGUGCUUGCUUGCUAGUUGUUAAUUGCUACUACUGCUACAACACAGGAGAAACUUUCUGCAGUACUCUGCACUCUGCAGUGAUGUAUCCACAUAUUACAUAUACAAUAGGCCUGCACACAUAAUGGAACUUAGUAAGCCAUAGCUUCUGAUUUCCUCUUGGAAUAAUCCAUAAUGAUCAUCCCAUCAUGCAACUUCGUAGCAUCAUAGCGGGUGACCUUCUCUUCACUAGAAACAGGGUUCAUCAUCUGAUAAAUUAGGGGUUUCUGAGGUUGAUAUGGGGGACAAACUGAUAUAUAUGGACGAGCCGCGGCAGGACCAGCAGGAGCCUUCUGCCUCGGUGCAGCAGCUGCCCUUUUUUUUCCUCCAUAUUCUUCCUCUUCCAGCAUCUGAAAGCCUUCGUAGCCUAUCUUAAGAAGCUUUGAUCGGUUGUCCAUCUUGUAGUUACUGGCCAUUUCUAAGCAAGAAGUGAGGAAAAGUGGGGAGGCUAGCUUCUGAUGAAACUGGGUUUGAGGUCUUCUUUUGUUGUGUAUGGAAAGGUUAGUUUGAGUUGGUGGUUUGGUGUAAAAGGCCGUGAGCAAUGAGCCCUUUAUAUAGGGAGGAUUUUUACUAAGAUAUAGCUAGGAUAAGGCUGGAAUGGAAAUCAGAUAUUUGCAUAGGAAAAAAAAAUAAAAGAAAAGAAGAAUCUUCAUGGGGUCUUAGUUUUCCCAACUUGUGUUGAUUCCCUUUCAGAUGUGCAUGGGACCAGUUUACAGGGAAAGGUAGGGGUUUUGGAGAUUCUUGAACGAUGAAGUUGAGUUUCCUUCCUUGUUAAGAGGGAAUAAAAAUACUAUGCUACUGCGUGUUCUUAUUAGUUAUGUAUUAUAACUGAAUUAGUGCAGCAUCCAAAUUAUCGAGGGAACACUGAGAACGUGGGUUGUUG
rnacentral:lncRNA from 1 species